GUUGCUCCUGGUCCCGUUCAUCGGUGGCACUGGCUGCGUGCGUGUCUCGUCGCCAUUGGGAUUCACCAAUACCAUCCGCGCCCAUCCUCCAAAGCGUGCAAGGGUUCCGCCAACCCUUCGUCAAGCCAGCGGCCCCUCCGCAUCGUCUCCUAUGAUGCACCGCCAGGGACGCCGUCGACAUGUCGAGGAUACGUAGCGAUGGAGCUCAGCCCGAGCCCAGUAGAAGCCCACUCUUAACCCUAUUCGCUCGAUUGACAAGACCAGGCAACGGAUUGGAUCAAGGGCGCCCGCAUGGCCUCGCCCGCCGCCUGGAUUCACUAGCCGCCGCGUCGAGUCACCCUAGCCACCGCCUUGAGUCACCUCCAUUGCUGUCGCCUCGAGUCACCUUCGUCGCCGCCAGGAAUCUCGUCCGGGCAAGUUAACUUCCUCCGAGCCCCUGCUCUCCCUGGUUCUCCUGCCCUGCUUGAUGUGUGUGUGUGUGUGUGUGUGUGUGUGUGUGUGUGUGUGUGUGUGUGUGUGUGCACGCGCGCGCGUGUGUCUGUGUGUGUGUUGUGUGUGUGUUUAGCCAUCCACCUCCCUUCCGAUCUUCAGAUCUCCAUAUUUGGUGAAUGUAGUGUUUUGGUUUCGUUGGAUUACUAUCUGUAUUCGAGGAUUAGCUACGAAAUGAUGUUUUUAGUUCGAGUGUGGAUGCUCGGCAAUAGUGAUUUAGGUCUUUUCCUAGAACAGAAUGAUUAAAUUGGUCUAUUUCUGGAGAAAAUUCCUAGGUAUUUGAUUGACGGAGGCAUCACUAUCUGGCACUAGAUUAUACAUUUUUGCAGCACUACCAAUGUUGUUUUUGUUUGGCAGGAAUGAAUGUUCUAGGGUUGGAGCAGAGGGGGUUGGGCAGCAGUUGAGCAUAGGCAUGAAUUUAUAGAUUCAAGAUUUUCUUACACAUGGGGCUUAUUCUCCUAAUGUUUCUAGGUCGCUUUGGAGGCUGAUAUCAGGUGGCUACUCAUGUCUGGCUUGGUGCCUAUAUUUUAGAUGUUCCAUUAAUCUUGGCUACUUUUCUCAUCCGUUUUGGGCUUUAACCUUGAUCUAGAAGGUUGCAGCUUCUUUGUUCUCCUACUCAAGAUUUGCUCAUUGUUCAGUUCAAGCCAUGUUCCUCAGGUAUCUUCCUUUACAUUUUCUUCAAGUGAUGGUCAGUUGAUCUAGCCAAGGGCUUCUCUAUUGUUCAUGGUUUACUGGAAUAUGUUUUGCUUGGCUAACAAAAUAGUAGGCAUGUGUGUGAGAUUACUUCUCGGCAAAUCUAACAUAAGAUUCUAACUUUAAUUCCAAUUUGUUUUUAACUCUCAUAAGCUAUUUUUGUUGUUAAGUGUUGCUGGAAGUUUGAACUUGCAAAGAGAACAAUUGAAAACUUUACCACUACAAUUAUAUUUACCGACUAUAAUGGUAACUGGGGGAUAAGCAUCCUAAGACAUUUGUACCAAAAUCCUUGGGCGUGCCUAUAUGUUCUCUCUAUUUUAGAGUAUGAUGCCCUCAACAAUUGGAAGAAACAACAUGUAAAUCAAUUUAUAAUUAUAAAACCAUGUGAGUUGGAUCUCCAUUUUCAAUUGGCGGCUUUUCUUAAACAUUCAUACUUUUGAAAGCUUCUACAAGACUCUCCUUAGACCAUUCAGCACAUGUUCUGUAACCCAGAGCAAGUGCAUGCAUACCCUAUACUCCAACAAGAUAUUAUAAGAAUGCAACUAAAAGGAAAAUAACAUCUCUCCAGAAACAGAAUUUUCCUCAAAUCAUUUCUCGAGAUGCCCUCUAACUUAUGUUGCGUUUAUGACUGAAUCGUCUUUUCUUUAAGACUAGCAUGUUAUCAGCCUUUGGCAUCUUUAAUCUUCAAUGUAGAAGAUCAAGAUCAAAUUUGAUCGUAGCAAACACAAAUGAACACAAUAAAAAAGUUGAUGGUAAAAUUGUUCAUUGUCUGCCAUAUUAUAUUUGUUAUAAGUAAUAGUAGAAACUAGUAAUUAAUUCUAUAUAGAUUCAAUGAAGUAUGGAGAACAUGUGCUUGGGAGGGGAUUUGGAAAGAUUAGUUAUGGCGCGUUCUUGUUUUACUUAAUAGUCUUCGGUUCUAUAAUUCAUAGCUCUGUGUAGUGUGUACACACUAAUAAAGGAGGAUCACAUUUUGUUAUUCCUUUUUUAAAUAAUUAUGAGUGAGUUGCAUUCUAUUGGUUCACUAAACUAACCUUACUGAUUGUUUCCAUACAGAAAUAAACCCUUUUGGUCAUUGUAGAUGUGUACUGUUGUAACAAUGCAUGUUAGCUAUAGUUGUUAUAUAAUUCUUUUUAUAAAUCUUGACUGAAUCGAGAUAUCUUCUCCAGGAAAAUCAUUUUUUCUUCACUUCCAGGGCCAGCGUCACUCAACUUUGCUUGGAGCAUGCUUAUUUGUUUCUACAUUGCCUUUGCUUAAUAUUUUCUCUUGAUUUCCUAUGUGAUUGAGAUGCGUGCCUAUCUUGACUGUUCUAUUGUGUUGGAAAUUUCUCGCCACUGGCCCAUUAUAACUGCUUUGGUCACGUACCUGGUGCACUUCUAAUUUUGAAUUGUGCUUGCUGAGUGCCCUCAUUUUGUUUACUACCUUCCGUUGGUGUAUAUGCAACUGUAUAGGUUUGUUGUUCAAUCUGGUUAUAGCUUUAUUCUCCUAUUUUCUUACUCAUUGCCACAUUGUCUUAGUUAUUACUCCCUCCGUUCCUAAAUAUGUCUUUCUAUAUAUUUCAAUAUGGACUACAUACGGAUGUAUAUAGAUGGUUAAUAAACCUCCUACAUGUUAUUGAAGAUUGGUCUCUUGCUCUUUUUUGCUUAUGAAUCAUACACUUCUCGUUUCUUCAGUACUUACACCUAGCUUUGGCCUCAUCCUUUGAUGGUUUGUGUAGUAAAAGUGGUGAUGAUGUUGCUUAAAGAGCCUCAACUUGCAGCAAAUAUAUGGGCAUGUGCAACUGCAACUUAUGUAGGCCAAUUUAUUCUCUAUUGUUUUUAUUUAGAAGUUUCUCCAUGAUGGUACUUUCAACCUGGAAACUUGAAAAAGAAUCAAGGCCAGUGACCCAGCUUUUGUUCUAUGGGCAGCCCUCCGUCGAAUGAAGCUCCAACCCGAGCAAGGACAUGGUAGCAGGUGGUGUAUCUGUUUAAUGUGUGUUAGAAGAGGCGAGCGCUUGGUUGAUGUUGUAUGCACAUUCUGUAAAAUAGAUUUUUCAAUAAAGCUUUGACAAUUUGUUUGUUGUCAUCUCUUUUUCAAAUAGUAUAUCAUCUUCUGGUUGUUUAAUAUGUAUUGUAGAGUCGAUGACUAUCCAAACUAUUCUUUGUAAACCAACAAGAUUGUGAAUCGCUAACCACAUCUUCUAAGACAAUCA